GGUUGAUCGCUGCCGGCACCCCUACGUGCCUACUCGCGGAUGGCGACUCAAGAUCAUGCAUAGCUCGGAGCAGUCUCCAAUGCUAUGAUAGAGACGCGGCACACAGCUCACUAACACGUGGCUAACCUGCCCUUGGGACAAGGACAACUCCGGGAAACUGGAGGUAAUCCCUUAUAAGUGAGAACUCCUGCAAUGGAUCGUCGCUAAAAGGGUGCUUAGAUCAUGCUUCUAGACGUCGCCCAAGGAGGGGGCCGCGGCCGAUCAGGUUGUCGGUGAGGUAAUGGCUCACCAAGCCUUUAACCGGUACGGGCCGUGAGAGCGGUAGCCCGGAGAUGGGCACUGACACAAGGGCCCAGGCCCUACGGGGCGCAUGAGUNGUGAAAACUCGGGAAUGCAAGAA
rnacentral:rRNA from 1 species